GUGACUUCUCCGGUGCUGUGGA
rnacentral:miRNA from 1 species